GAUGAACGCUGGCGGCGUGCCUAAUACAUGCAAGUCGAGCGAACAGACGAGGAGCUUGCUCCUCUGACGUUAGCGGCGGACGGGUGAGUAACACGUGGAUAACCUACCUAUAAGACUGGGAUAACUUCGGGAAACCGGAGCUAAUACCGGAUAAUAUAUUGAACCGCAUGGUUGAAUAGUGAAAGACGGUGUUGCUGUCACUUAUAGAUGGAUCCGCGCCGCAUUAGCUAGUUGGUAAGGUAACGGCUUACCAAGGCAACGAUGCGUAGCCGACCUGAGAGGGGGGUCGCCGACCCUGGAACGUAGACACGGUCCAUACUCCUACGGGACGCAGCAGUCGGCAACCUGACGCAAUGGUCGAAAGCCUGACGGAGCAACGCCGCGUGAGUGAUGAAGGUCCUCCGAUCGUAAAGCUCUGUUAUUAGUGAAGAACCAAUGUGUAAGUAACUAUGCACGUCUUGACGGUACCUAGUCAGAAAGCCACGGCUAACUACGUG
rnacentral:rRNA from 1 species